rnacentral:lncRNA from 1 species
UGCACAGGAGUUGGUCGAGCCACACUCGAGCCUAUGUGAAGCUCAUGUGGAUUCUAGUACCCACUAAAAGAUUAGUGUAAUUUUUUGAAUUGGAGGUAGAGACUACUAAUUCAAAUAAAAUAGUGAGAGAAUCUUUAGACUAAAAUUCAUAUCUUUAGACUUAAUCAAUUCAUACACUAGUUAAGUUUUGGAUUUUCUUUUGCAGUUAUGGCCACCACCUUGUCGCUCCGAUCACUAUUAGACAGUGAUAAAUUGAUAGGAUCAAAUUUUGAUAGCUGGUAUCGAAAGCUCAAAAUAGUCCUGGAGCACGAACGAAUCUUGUACGUAUUGAUAGAUCUAGCACCUGAGGAGCC